CAGCCGCCGCGGUAAUACGUAGGUCCCGAGCGUUGUCCGGAUUUAUUGGGCGUAAAGCGAGCGCAGGCGGUUAGAUAAGUCUGAAGUUAAAGGCUGUGGCUUAACCAUAGUACGCUUUGGAAACUGUUUAACUUGAGUGCAAGAGGGGAGAGUGGAAUUCCAUGUGUAGCGGUGAAAUGCGUAGAUAUAUGGAGGAACACCGGUGGCGAAAGCGGCCCUCUGGCUUGUAACUGACGCUGAGGCUCGAAAGCGUGGGGAGCAAACAGGAUUAGAUACCCCCGUAGUCCCUGUCUCUUAUACA
rnacentral:rRNA from 1 species